AAGGCGCUGUUGCCGGUGCCGCCGGUCGGUGUUAAUCCCGUAGACGCGCGGCUCGUUGCUACUGUGAAGCCGGGCAGACUGGAUCCCAGGUUACAGCUGGAAGAGGAUCUCUUCCACGGGUGAAAUCCACCUUUGGAGAAAGCGCUGGAGUCAGAAUUGAGUUCACACACCAGUUCCAGAAGAGGGAAAAGGAGAUGAUGCACCAAAGCCACCACCGCUGAUUGGAAGGUUUGGCACCUCAUUGAAAAUAGGAAUUGUUGGUCUGCCCA